CAUAGAGAACUUCCAGUUCGCCAUGUUCUGUUUGCUGUGCCUCAUGUGCUUUGGCGAGAAGCUAGACGAGAAGGCCGUCAGGGACAUCAAGGACGCGCAGCGGAGCCGCCUCCUAUUCGCCAGCAAGCUCCGCGUGCUAAACUUCGUACCAUGUAUCUCAAGGCACCUGUUUCGCAAUCGAUUGAAGACGGCCAUGGAGAUGGGGGAGAGACGGACGCAACUUUACCUUCCCCUGAUCGAAGCCCGAAAGCGGUACAAGCAGCAGCACCUGCAAAAGAUGACGUCGAGCAAAGAAAAAGAAAGAUUCGUGGUUUCUUACGUGGAUUCCCUGCUCGACAUCGAGCUCCCGGAGGAAGGUGGAAGGAAGCUCUCUGACAACGAGGUGGUGUCCCUGUGCUCGGAGUUCCUGACCGGGGGCACGGACACGACGUCGACCGCGCUGCAGUGGAUUAUGGCGAACCUGGUGAAGCACCAAGGCAUUCAAGCAAAGCUGUGGGAAGAGAUCGAGCGGGCCGCCGCGGGGAGCGGCGAGGAGGAGGAUAUCAAAGCGGAGGACCUGCAGAAGAUGCCGUACCUGAAGGCGGUGAUCAUGGAGGGUCUGCGGCGGCACCCGCCCGCCCACUUCCUGCCCCCGCGCGCGGUGACGGAGGACGUGAGCCUGUGCGGGUAUCUGAUUCCCAGGGAGGCGACGGUCAACUUCUUCGUGGCGGGGAUGAACUGGGA
rnacentral:lncRNA from 1 species